AUGAUCUCCUCCUGCCACACACAGAGGGCACUCAGUGAAGUGAUGGAGGGCUCUGCCUGGUGCUGGUGCCCCAGAGCCACUGGUCCUUGCCCCGCCGUAGUGUUCCUCAUCACUCCAGCCAGGUACCAGCCACACGGCUCGGUGGAAACAGCUUGCUUUUCCAGAAACCCACCAUCACUGCUCUCCUUCCCUGCACCUCUCUUCUUCCAGCCUCAUCCUACCUUAUUUUCCAGCCGUCUCAGCCCUCUGCUCGCCCAGGUGGCUGGGCUGUCCUGCCUGUCCCACAGCCUCCCGGGAACACCCAGGGCGAUGCUCGGGGUAGGAGGAGGGGGGGUUACAGAUAAUGUUUUCCUCUUGGAGGUUUUUAAGCGCGCUACCAUCAGAAGUGGUCUGAUAUCUUUUAUGGUUAGGCGCGUCUAUUAAAACAGAAACAAAUUUUGCAUUUCCUAAGUGGGUAGAUAAUUGUUACAUGAUGAAGAGAGCAAAUACAUGCACAGAAAUGGCCUCUGCCUUAAAUGUGCACUGAACUGAACUUCUGGUCAGAUAAAUUUCUAAUUAAUUUGCUUGUGCAAGCCACGGAACAAAAGCUCUGAUUAUAUAUUAGACUAAGAGGUGCAAAAAUAUCUUCCCACAUGUUUCCGCGUUAUCCUGCUCCUUGCCUGUACAGGGGCAGGAAGGGGUGGCCGUCCUCAGGGUGAUGCCUCUUCAAGCCCCAGCGGAAGCCACCAAAGUACCCUCACCCCUACAGCAUCCCCCCACGGUGGGACAGACCCCGCCACCCCCGCACCAGCCUGUGGCCAGGGACCCCCUCGUCUGGGCUGCCGGCGGCUGGGUGGGUUUGGAAGCGGUGCCAGGCGGGCAGCACAGAGCUGUGGCUGGCACUUUAUGCUAAUGGCCCAGUCAUUAUUUAUUCCUUUGGAAUUCAUUACAAUCACAUUAUUUGAGAUCGCCUCAUUUAGCGUCACGAAUGCAUCCAUAGGAUUUUUUUUUAUUGUGACCUAAUUAAUAAUGAGUGAUUCUAUUUUAAAGCGCUGCCGUACGCUGGGUUUUAAGGCAGACUUAAGAUUGUCUCAGCAAACGAUGCCAAAGCGGCUCAGUGGCUCCUCGCAGCCUGGUGAAAAAAUGUGUAAGAAAGGGCUGCUCGGCCGCCGCGGCCCCCGACGGGCACUGGCAGAGGCCAGGCACAGCGCUUGCUCCUGGCCAGCAGCACUAUGUGGCUCCAACUUUCUAUUCAGAAAACUAUUUUUUUUUUGCAACGGCAGAUCACAGCUGACUCUUCUGAAAGCAAAGUUCAGUACUCACCUUGUCUGAAGCAGGAAAACCCGUCAUCAAUGUUUUGGGAAAAUUCUGUCUCGGUUUUCGUUGACCAACAAUAGCUCUGGGUACUGUAAAGCUGUGCAGGAGGAUAAAAAUCUUCACUGAC
rnacentral:lncRNA from 1 species